CGGCCACCAAUCAGCAUAAAAAAUCAAAUCAUCUUAUACAGAAUUUUACGCUCUUCAAAAUGAUACUAGCCACUUUUUAAUAUUUUCCAUGUGGACACACCCUAGUGUACACUGUUGUAAUUGAAUGCUGAACUCCGUCGGCUCAGUUUGUUGGCUAUUGUCCACAGUCACAUCCAAUGGAUGAUUCUCUUCUUCUUCUUCGUCUUGAUCUUGUGCCGGCUCAGUUUGUUGACUAUUGUCCACAGUUUCAUUAACGCAAGUACGCUUCGGACGCAUCCUUAAUUAUAAAAUACGGAAAAAAUAGAAACAAAUCGAUACAUAUUCGUACAAUAUCAAAGAAAGAUCUUGGACAACAAACAAGCGGAACAGAACAUAACCAAACUUCAAAAAGCAAAGAAAAAAAAAAUUGAACACGUGCCGAUAGCGAUAAUUUAUUUUCGAAACACGACAAAACAUGAAUUUACCUGAUUUAUUUUGGGACUUGGAUGAAUUAAUGCACAGGAAAAAUCGUUCCGUUGGUCUGAUUGACAAUUGCGUCUCACUUUCUUUGAUCGUUUAGAUGAUGAAAUUAUCAAACACGUUUUUUAAAGUUUAGAAUAUUUUCCAAUUUGUUAUCAAUUUGUUUGAAAUCACGACAAAAUAUGAAUUAAUUCGAUAAUUAUUGAGGCUUAUUUGAUUUUGAGCACAAAAAAAAUUAAUUACGGUUUUUUUCCCCCUUUGAGACUAAAUUAUUUUAACUAUUCCGAAUGGAGCUCGCUGUGUAAGUGCGAAAGAUUAUUUGACAUUUCGUAAUAACAGUGCCGACAAACUAGCUGCUACAGUAUAUGUGUAUGUGUAUGUAAUUGCGCAUAAUUAAUUCAAUCUGAAACAAUGACCAAUACACUUUGCAUUUAUGUUUAUAUUGGUCGCGUAUAUACAAGCAACUAGACGAUGCGCCAUCUAUUGGUGAUUGUUUUAAUUUUCAUUCGAUUAUAUCGUUGUUUAAAUGGUUAUGAGCAAACAAAAGUCAUAAACACAAAAACAAAAAAUGGAUCCACCAAAGUAGUAUGGUAGCAGGUGUUGCUCGUUGACGUUUAUAUAAGUUUUCGAUAGAUGGCGACACAAAUAAGAUUUUAAUUUUGAAUAUUUAUUCUCUCCAUUGAAAUCGAUGAAAGAAAACGUAAUACAUGUAGACAUUACAUGCUUUGUUGACUAGGAUAAUUUUAGUUCAAAACUCAACAACAAAACAAAAAAACAGUCCUUUUCAGCGCGUGGAUAUAUAAAUAGUUUUUCUCUAGGUUUUUCUUCGCGAAAUUUUGUGAUAUGCAGUGAAACCGCGAAUGUUGCGAUAUGCAGUGAAAACGCGAAUGUUGCGAUAUGUGUUUUGGCAUUCAGUUUGUGACUACCAAGUUAACACAGACACUGGUGUUUCCAACAAAGCCAUGUCAAUCAUGAACAGUUAUGUCAACCAUAUUUUCGAGCGUAUCGCAUAUGAAAAAAAUAUCAAAACACUUUCAAUUGCCGUUUAGAACAUAUUUGAUUUUCAAGUAAACGAACGGAAUACGCUAUUUCUAUGGAGGUGAAUGUAUUAUGAAAUAAUUCUUUAUAAAAAAUAAAUUAGUAGUCCUGAAAAGAACUGUUUUUUGUUAUGUUGGAUUUCUUAAUUUUGAACUAAAAUUAUCCUAGUCAACAAAGCAUGUAAUGUCUACAUGUAUUACGUUUUCUUUCAUCGAUUUCAAUGGAGAGAAUAAAUAUUUAAAAUUAAAAUCUUAUUUGUGUCGCCAUCUAUCGAAAACUUAUAUAAACGUAUAAACGUCAACGAGCAACAAAAAACGUAUGAAAUGUUACAUACUACUUUGAAUUCAAAUAUUUUCUCCAAUGCGAGCAGAGAUGAUAAAAAAUCAAACAAAAGUAUUUCAAUGAUGACGAUAUAAAUACAUACGAUUAAAAUGUAUUUAUAUUGAAGAAAAAAAAAUCAUAAAGCCACCGUUCAUAUAUAUUACAUUUACCAAUCGACAACGAAAAAUGAAUCAAUUUAAUUGAAAAUUGACGAUGUCGUGUCUGCAGUUAUUUUGAAAGAGUUUGAAUUACAAGUGAAAAAAAAAUUAGAGCAAACAAAAUUUUAUGUCAAUAAGAAAAAAAUCGAGUUGCUAUUCUUCAAAAUAAAUCGUUUACCUUCAAAAAUUCAAAACUCAUAAAGAAGCAACAAAGAACUAUUCACCAUAUAUAAUUCUUGAACUAUGCGUUCAUAUAUCACCCACCAUCAUCUGAAAGAAAAAUCUGUACGAAAUAAAAAACUUUGGUUAAACUGUAGAAGACAACAGUUGAAGAAAAAUAUAAUUUUUCUCAGUUUAUUUAAUCCUCUUAUAUUCUAAUUGAACAGUGUAUGGUAUUGACUUAUCUGAAUCUAUUCAAACUACUGAUCCUCUUAUAUUCUAAUUAAUAAAUGAAAUAUGAAUGGUAUUGGCUGAUUCAAGUGCGUGUGUGUGUUUGUGUGAGCGCACGCCGUAACCGUAACUACAUUUAUCAUUUUUUUCUAAAUAUGCAAAAAAAAUCCAAGCCUCUUAAUAGUGAUCUUACUUUGAUGAAAACUUCGACACAAGUGAAGUCCGAAUAACACUCGGCAUGACGAUGUAACCAAAAUGUUGCGAAAAACCUGGUUACGAAAUUCAUUUAAACACGGGAUUUCCUUAUUUUGAAUGAUAUACAAUGUGUAGUAUUUUCUUGAUUUGAAUCAGCUAAAAUAGCCGACAGUAAAUAUUAAAUGUUUGAUGUAAGCAAAACUGACUUUUUUUCAGUUGAGCUAAGAAUUUUGGAGUCACCAUUUUGCAUCAAAUGGAAAAUUGACGGACCGUCGACGGAAAAGACAAAAAAGAGAAAAAGAAGAAAGGUUUGUUUUAGCUGUAAGCAAUUAAACGCACACACAGUAUAUUCCCAACAGUAUAUAAAUAAUAUCCAAAAGAUCUGUUUAAAUUGCAUUUGAAAACAAAUUACAUAUUAUUGAUGAGAGAUCGAGGCGAUACAUGUUCGAAGUGCCCACUUCUUCGUAUGAAGAAAUGGAUUAAUACAACAAUAUAUUGUUAAUCCUAUUUCAAACAAAAAGGACAAAAAUAAAGUCGAAGUAAAUAACGCGCUAUGUUUGCAAUAUCUAAGCAAAGUUAUAGCCAAUUUUAUUCUUAUUUCAACACAAGAACAAAAACAGAACACAUUUGUGAUUCUGAUAAUUCAACUCAAAUCAAAGGCAAUUUUUAAACAUAGGAGAAGCAUAUUGAAGUAUUUUUUUUCCUCCAUUUUUCUUUCUUAAUUGUUUUUAACAUAAAAUAAGAACAAACAUUUUAUACGUUGAUUAAAGAUACAUAUAUACAUUAACUCAGUGUCAAUUUGAAUUCGUACAUUUAUUACUUUUAAUUACAAUAAAAAUUCAAUCUAAUAUGACUUAUGUUAACAAUGAACAACUUCAAAGCAUACUAUUUCUGUUUCUUUAAAUUUUCAGUUUCCUAUUCACAUGAAAUAUUGUAUAAGAAGAAAUCUAAUCACAAAAUAGUCAAUUCUGACAGAAAAAAAAACGAAUUAUAACUAUAAAAAACAUAAAGUUUCUCAACUUUGCUCGAUAGAUUGUUAAGUUUACUCUUCUUUCAUAACGAAAUAAUAGAGUUAAAAUUCAUUUUGAAGUAAACGGAUCGAAAAAGAUACAUUUUCGAAGAAUUAUUAUAAUAUCCAUCUAUGUAUAAAAUUAUAAGUUAAGAUAUUCAGAUUAUUUCCAAGGUGAGAGCCUUUUAUCGUCAUAAAUUAUAUAGCAAUCCAAUUUUUAUUCAAUAUGUCGUUCCGAUAUCAAAAUCUAUGCCAUUUUGACUAAUUUGAAACGAGCACAAAUUACGGAGCUGAAAAUAUGGUUAAAUUUAGUAGUUUCCAAUAAAUUUUAGCCUGCAAUGAAUUUUGGAAACACUGAAAUCAUUGAUGCAAACUGUUUGCCCAUCAUUGCUCUGCUGAACAGCGUAGUGGAAAGAUUUUGUCAAAAACGAAAAAAAAUAUGCAAAAGUUUGGUAUUUGCAAGAACAUAAUUGGAUCGCCAACACCUUUAAUCUUUAAAAAAUGAAAUAAAUAAGUCACUUAUAUAUUAUGUAAUAAUUUUCAAACAUAGCUUAUUAGUGUGAACAAUUCCACAAAAAAUUAUUUUAUUUUAAUAAUAGUUACAAAAAUAAAACACUAUUGAACACUAUAAUUUAUUUUACUCACUGA